AUUGAACGCUGGCGGCAGGCCUAACACAUGCAAGUCGAGCGGAUGAAGGGAGCUUGCUCCUGGAUUCAGCGGCGGACGGGUGAGUAAUGCCUAGGAAUCUGCCUGGUAGUGGGGGAUAACGUCCGGAAACGGGCGCUAAUACCGCAUACGUCCUGAGGGAGAAAGUGGGGGAUCUUCGAACCUCACGCUAUCAGAUGAGCCUAGGUCGGAUUAGCUAGUUGGUGGGGUAAAGGCCUACCAAGGCGACGAUCCGUAACUGGUCUGAGAGGAUGAUCAGUCACACUGGAACUGAGACACGGUCCAGACUCCUACGGGAGGCAGCAGUGGGGAAUAUUGGACAAUGGGCGAAAGCCUGAUCCAGCCAUGCCGCGUGUGUGAAGAAGGUCCUCGGAUUGUAAAGCACUUUAAGUUGGGAGGAAGGGCAGUAAGUUAAUACCUUGCUGUUUUGACGUUACCAACAGAAUAAGCACCGGCUAACUUCGUG
rnacentral:rRNA from 1 species